CUCGCAGCCUUCUCUUAUCCAGGCUGAACAGCCCAAGCUGUCAGCCUGUCCCUGUAGGACCAGCAUUCCAUUCUGUGGAUCAUUUCUGUGGCCCUCCUCCAGAUGCACUCCAACAGGUCUAUGUCUUUGCUCUACUGAGAACUCCUCAUCUGGACGCAGUGCUCCAGGUGAGGCCCCACCAGCGCAGAGCAGAGCAGGGGGCAAGAUCCCCUCUCUCAACCUGCUGGCCACAUUUCUUUUGAUGCAGCCCAGGGUACAGUUGGCUUUAAGGGCUGUAAGGGCACAGGGCUGGCUCAUGUCCAGCUUGCCAUCCACCAGUACCCCAGGUCUUUUUUGGCAGGGUUGCACUCAAUCCUUUAAUCCCCCAGCUUGUAUUAGUAAUGGGGGUUGCCUUGACCCAGGCGUAAGAUGUUGCACUUGGAUUUGCUGAACCUCAUGAGGUUCACCUGGGCCCACUGUUCAGCCCAUCUAGGUCGCUCUGGAUGGCAUCCCAUCCCUCUGGUGUGUCACUGCACCCCACAGCUCAGUGUUACCAGCAAGCUUACUGAGGGUGCACUCGGCCCCGCUGUUGAUGUCACUGGUGAAGAUACUAAAGAGUAUUGGCCCCAGCACUGACACCCUGGGGGGCACCACUCGUCACCCAUCUCCACCCAGACUUUGAGCCAUUGGCCACCACUCUCUGGACACAAUCCUGCAGCCAGUUCUUCAUCCAUCAAACAGUCCACCCAUCAAAUCCAUAUCUCUCCAAUUGGAAAAAAAGGAUAUUGUGGGGCACCAUGUCAAAGGCUUUUCUGAAGUCCAUAUAGAUGACAUCAGUGGCUUCUUCCCUGUCCACUGAUGAAGAGACACCAUCAUAGGAGGCCACUAGGUUGGUCAAACAGGAUUUCCCCUUGGUGAAGCCAUGCUGGCUCUCCCAUAUCAGCUCCCUGCCUUAGCAUAGCUUCCAGAAGGAUCUGUUCCAUGAUCUUCCCUGGCACAGAGGUGAGAGUGACAGGUUGGUAGUUCCCAGAGUCAUCCUUUUUACCCUUUUUAAAAAUGGGUAUGAUGUUACCUUUUUUCCAGUGGCCAGAAACUUCACCUGUUUACCACGACUUGACAGUGGCUUGGCGACUACAUCAGCUAAUACUCUCAGGACUCUGGGUUGCAUCUCAUCAGGACCCAUAGGCUUGUGGAUGUUCAGGUUCCUCAGGUGGUCAUGCACCUGAUCUUUGCUUACAGUGGGAGGGACAUUGCUUCCCCAAUCCCCUCCCUCCAAACCAAAUGUUUGAGGGGUGUGUGGCAAGCAGUUAUCAGAGAAGAUAAAAUAUGUUCCUGUGAAUAGUUAAACCCAUUCCUCUGAGUUUGAGCUCUCUUAAAUGGCUUUGCAACCUUCUAAGCCAUAUGACUGCUACUUUGGCAUCUUGUGUAGCCUGGAAGUCACACAGGAAUUGGAUGCCAGAGGAGAGGCAGUCAUUCUACAAGAACAUGAAUCUGUACCUUUACGUAUUGUGGACUGUAGCAGAAAUGCAAAGUCACGGCUUGAAACAGUGAUGGAGCACCUGGUGGGAAGGUAGGGCCAACCCAGAGGAGCCCAGGUGCAUGCAAUGCCAGGAUCCACCCCUUCCCAGACCUCAUUUCAGGGUUGGCAGUGGAUCUAUGCUUACCUGAGGUUUUCCAUAGGUAAGCAGCUUUUUUCUUUCAUUUCUGUAUCUACAGCUGCUGUACUUGGGCUUGUCCUCAUUUGCUGCAGCCAACACCUUUGCCACCCUGUUAUUGCUGUACUUUCCAUCACAUUAUAGUAUUACAUGGACAAAAGAACAGCUCAAUGGAUGUAAAGCAAUAAGAGCUUUUCAAAAUGUCUCUCUGGUAUUAAUUCAUGUCUCUAGCUGAAGUAUCUGCAGUUAGUACACCAGUGAAUGUAUCUGUAUUUUAAUGUGGUCAAGUUAAAAAUGAAGGCAUGUUACGUCCUCUCAAAUAUUUACCAUUCUGUGGAAGAUCUCAGUUAUUACUUACCUAAAAGGUAGAUACAAUAUUUCUUUGCCUGUGAGAGCAAAAUGCAGGUAGCCUUUUAUGAAAUUAGUAGAUACAGUUUUCAAGCAGUAGUCAUGAAAGUCUUCAUUUAAGUUUAAGAAGAGAGAGAACAACUUUAAUAACAUGUCACUUAAAAGUUUCAUUGCCUAAAACUUGUCUUAUAAAGAAUAAUUUUAUAUGGCUUAAUCCUAUAUUUAAGAAAAUGCAUUAGGUGUUAGCAAUAUUGAUGGUAUAUAAAAUAUAAUACUCCAUGAAAUCUGAAUCUCGCUAUAUAUUAUUAUACAGAUUUUUAAUUAUGAAAACAAACAUCGUAAUCACUGUAGUACAUCUACAUCUAUACAUGUAAUAUAUUCCAUGUAUACAUAGAGAGAAUACGUGCACGAAGUCAGCGUGAAGUUCAAAUAUAGCUGAAGCCAACAAAGCGAACACCUCUUUCAGAAGUAAAAAUCUUUGUCUUCAAGACCAAGUAGAUUCAGGAAAUGAAAAGAGAAAUAAUCUUCAAUAAUUGCAAAGUCUUAAUGUUUCUGUCAUCACUGGCAAAUGAAGAUAAUAAGAGAAACUAUAUAGAUUUGUCUGCCUUCCUGAAAGUGUUCAAAUAUGACAUACCCCUCUUUUCACUUAGGUUUUUGGUUUCGUGGCAUUGUCUAUUAGCAUGGGAAAUAUUUAGAGAGACAUUUAUUACUGAAUUACUAGUGUGACUGACUUCUCCAGCAUUUCAGAAAGCGCUUCAGCCUGACACAUGAUGGCAGAAGAGGGAUAAACUGAAGGAUGACACUGAAAGCGAGGUCAGUACUGAGCUCUGGUAACAUGUCCUUUCACACAACCAGAUGUUCGUGAUCUGUCACUUCCCUUGAUGUUCCCAUACUUGACAUCUACCACUUGAAUUAGAAUAAACUAGAUGUCCACAAAGAUGAAUAACUUUUCCAGAAAUCUCCAACAGGGCUGCAUUAAUAAGGAAUUUAUGUUUAUUUUCUGAGUAUGUGUCUGAAAAUAUUUUUAUAAUGUUCUGUAUUUCCACCUAGCCUUUUCCAUGAAUAAUACUUUUAAAGUGAGGUUACUGUCACAAGAUGAGGUUUUUUUUUCAGGAUGGGUCAUUCAGACUUCUGUUUUGAUGAGCUUUCUGCACCCAGCAACAAUUCAAGAGUUGACGUUUUUCCAGGUUAUAGGCCCACUGUGAAUCAGAUACGAUUGUUGCUGCUGUUUCGCUCUCACGCCCAUCUCCCUACCCUUUUUUCCCUUUUCCCUUUCCCGGGGCAUGGGUCCGUGGGUCCCCCGUACCAUUCGUCACAGAACCAGGCCGAACGCCCGUAAACCGUUGACACUCCUGCAUCGCUGCUCAAGACUAAGCUCUAGCUCAGAUGCACAAGGAUAAGGAUUUACAGGGGCAGAGAGAAGAACCUCUUCAGCUGAGGAGGUAGACUGAGAACAAACUUGUCUGCACUGCAUACAUCUGUAGGAACAGUCAGGCUGGAACAAUGACAGGGAAUGUCACGGAGACUCAAAGCAUAUGGGAAUGUUGAAACUACUCAGGCUUGGACAAGUCACCCCAUCUCACUGAAGGAUUCCAUCAAAACCUUCCUUCCUUUAACAACGUAUUUGGGGCAAGGAGAGAUCUCCCUUGCAUGGAGUCAUGGAUUUACUGGAUUUUUCCACGGCUGCUACUCUUUCUUUCUCCCAUCAGCCUGUUAUCUUCCACAACAAGACUGUCUACUGUGGUCUGGGGAGCCAUCUUCAUUCCACUUUUGAACAGAUAUUCUCACUAAAUUUAAAACUGUAAGUAAGAAUUGUACAAUUGUAGGUAAGGAUUUCUGACUGGAGGUAUUCAGGUAGCCAAACAAUAUGGGCUCUUCUAAAAGACUUGGAGAGAAUCUUGCCUUCUCUUUUAGCACUUGUUCAUGACUAGCCAAAAGGAGGAAGAGCUCAGUGCUAUGACUAUCUAGUUUAGUCUCAUAAUCUCACAAUUCCUGUUCUGUUCCUACUGUACUGCACUUCUCUUUCCCUCACCAAGUAGCCAAGGUUAUUUUUCUGCUCUCUGGCUGAAAUGUGAACAUUGCCCUAAAGCUCCUCUAUGAAUGUCUUCCCUUAUAAUGUUUUGAGUGCAGGAAUUCAAAGCCUCACGUCAGACUAUUCACUCCACCACGCACAAUGGUAAUGUGGCCUAGAGCCAGCUUCACACUGUCUGUUAAUGUAUUAAGUGAGUUAGUGGAGACACUGCUGUUCACAAUUAAUUUAUAGAUACAAACCAUGUUUUCCUUGGUGAAAUACUCUAAAAGACUCACCUAUACCACUUCAUGAUGAGUGACUUGUAUUAGCAUGAUGUAAAGAUAGGUAGCAGCAGAUACAGUUGCCUUAAACCAGUUUUGAAUCACCCAAGAAAGGUAGCAUUCACAAUCGAGUAAUAAAGGAAACA